rnacentral:rRNA from 1 species
UACGGGGGGGGCAAGCGUUGUUCGGAAUUACUGGGCGUAAAGGGCUCGUAGGCGGCCAACUAAGUCGGAUGUGAAAUCCCCAGGCUUAACCUGGGAACUGCAUUCGAUACUGGAUGGCUUGAAUCCGGGAGAGGGAUGCAGAAUUCCAGGUGUAGCGGUGAAAUGCGUAGAUAUCUGGAGGAACACCGGUGGCGAAGGCGGCGUUCUGGACUGCAACUGACACUGAGGAACGAAAGCCAGGGGAGCAAACGGG